UUUCCGGGGUUUUGAUCUGCCGGAGGUCAUUGCUAUUGGAGUCCGAUUUAGCCAUGCUAGUUGCACGAGUUCAGACUCGUAGCAGAUAGCUCAGUAACACGUGGCCAAACUACCCUAUGGAUCCGAAUAACCUCGGGAAACUGAGGCUAAUGCGGAAUAGCGUUCAUCGCCUGGAGUGGCACGAACGCGAAACGUUACGGCGCCAUAGGAUGUGGCUGCGGCCGAUUAGGUAGACGGUGGGGUAACGGCCCACCGUGCCCAUAAUCGGUACGGGUUGUGAGAGCAAGAGCCCGGAGACGGUAUCUGAGACAAGAUACCGGGCCCUACGGGGCGCAGCAGGCGCGAAACCUUUACACUGCACGCGAGUGCGAUAAGGGGACUCCGAGUGCGAGGGCAUAUAGUCCUCGCUUUUCACGACCGUAAGGUGGUCGUAGAAUAAGUGCUGGGCAAGACCGGUGCCAGCCGCCGCGGUAAUACCGGCAGCACGAGUGAUGACCGCUAUUAUUGGGCCUAAAGCGUCCGUAGCUGGCCACGCAAGUCUAUCGGGAAAUCCGCGCGCUUAACGCGCGGGCGUCCGGUGGAAACUGCGUGGCUUGGGACCGGAAGACCAGAGGGGUACGUCCGGGGUAGGAGUGAAAUCCCGUAAUCCUGGACGGACCACCGGUGGCGAAAGCGCCUCUGGAAGACGGAUCCGACGGUGAGGGACGAAAGCUCGGGUCACGAACCGGAUUAGAUACCCGGGUAGUCCGAGCUGUAAACGAUGUCUGCUAGGUGUGGCACAGGCUACGAGCCUGUGCUGUGCCGUAGGGAAGCCGUGAAGCAGACCGCCUGGGAAGUACGUCCGCAAGGAUGAAACUUAAAGGAAUUGGCGGGGGAGCACUACAACCGGAGGAGCCUGCGGUUUAUUGAU
rnacentral:rRNA from 1 species